rnacentral:tRNA from 2 species
GGGCCCGUAGCUCAGCUGGUUAGAGCGCUACUCUGAUAAAGUAGAGGUCCUGUGUUCGAGUCACAGCGGGCCCACCA